rnacentral:lncRNA from 1 species
AUGAAGAAGAGGUGGAAGGAAAGAGAAGAGAUGGAAGGAGAGAGAGAAGAGAUAGAAGAGAUGGAAGGAGAGAGAGAAGAGGUGGAAGAAGAGAGAGAAGAGAUGGAAGGAGAGAGAAGAGGUGGAAGGAGAAAGAAGAGAUGGAAGGAGAGAGAAAAGAGGUGGAAGGAGAGAGAGAAGAGGUGGAAGGAGAGAGAGAAGAGGUGGAAGGAGAGAGAGAAGAGGUGGAAGGAGAGAGAGAAGACGAAGAUGAGGUGGAAGGAGAGAGAGAAGGGCAACAGAAACGUGAUAGAGAGAAUACAAGGCGACCAGGGACAGGAGGAGGAGGGAGAACACCACAGCGGUGAAGAUAGGGAGGAGGGAGAGCAUCACCAAGAUGAGGAGGGAGAAAGCUCCACAGGGACGUUGUUGCUCCACAGGGACGUUGUUGCUCCACAGGGACGUUGUCGCUGCUCCACAUGGACGUUGUUGCUCCACAGGGACGUUGUUGCUCCACAGGGACGUUGUCGCUGCUACACAGGGGACGUUGUUGCUCCACAGGGACGUUGUCGCUGCUCCACAGGGACGUUGUUGCUCCACAGGGACGUUGUCGCUGCUCCACAGGGGACGUUGUUGCUCCACAGGGACGUUGUUGCUCCACAGGGACGUUGUCGCUGCUACACAGGGGCGUUGUUGCUCCACAGGGACGUUGUCGCUGCUCCACAGGGGACGUUGUCGCUGCUCCACAGGGACGUUGUCGCUGCUCCACAGGGACGUUGUUGCUCCACAUGGACGUUGUUGCUCCACAUGGACGUUGUUGCUCCACAGGGGCGUUGUUGCUCCACAGGGGCGUUGUUGCUCCACAUGGACGUUGUUGCUCCACAUGGACGUUGUUGCUCCACAGGGGCGUUGUUGCUCCACAUGGGCGUUGUUGCUCCACAGGGACGUUGUUGCUCCACAGGGACGUUGUUGCUGCUCCACAGGGACGUUGUUGCUCCACAGGGACGUUGUUGCUCCACAUGGACGUUGUUGCUCCACAGGGACGUUGUUGCUACACAGGGACGUUGUCGCUGCUACACAGGGACGUUGUUGCUCCACAGGGACGUUGUCACUGCUCCACAGGGGCGUUGUUGCUCCACAGGGACGUUGUCGCUGCUCCACAGGGACGUUGUUGCUCCACAUGGACGUUGUUGCUCCACAUGGACGUUGUUGCUCCACAGGGGACGUUGUUGCUGCUCCACAUGGACGUUGUUGCUCCACAGGGGACGUUGUCGCUGCUCCACAGGGACGUUGUUGCUCCAUAUGGACGUUGUUGCUCCACAGGGACGUUGUCGCUGCUCCACAUGGGCGUUGUUGCUCCACAGGGACGUUGUUGCUCCACAGG